rnacentral:tRNA from 1 species
GCGGGAGUAGCUCAGCGGUAGAGCAUCAGCUUCCCAAGCUGAGGGUCGCGGGUUCGAUCCCCGUUUCCCGCUCCA